AGUUCGAUCCUGGCUCAGGAUUGAACGCUGGCGGAUGUUUUACACAUGCAAGUCGAACGGCAGCACGGACUUCGGUCUGGUGGCGAGUGGCGAACGGGUGAGUAAUGUAUCGGAACGUGCCUAGUAGCGGGGGAUAACUACGCGAAAGCGUAGCUAAUACUGCAUACCGCCUCGGGGGAAAGCGGGGACCUUCGGGCCUCGCACUAUUAGGAGCGGGCUGAUAUCGGAUUAGCUAGUUGGUGGGGUAACGGCUCACCACAAGGACGAUCCGUAGCUGGUUUGAGAGGACGACCAGCCACACUGGGACUGAGACACGGCCCAGACUCCUACGGGAGGCAGCAGUGGGGAAUUUUGGACAAUGGGGGAAACUCCUGAUCCAGCCAUCCCGCGUGUGUGAUGAAGGCCUCGCCGUAAAGCACUUUGGCAGAAAGAAACGGCACGGAUAACACCCCGUGCAACUGACGGUACCUGCAGAAUAAGCACCGGCUAACUACGUGCCAGCAGCCGCGGUAAUACGUAGGGCAAGCGUUAAUCGGAAUUACUAAUAAAGCGUGGUGCAGGCGGUUCGGAAAGAAAGAUGUGAAAUCCCAGAGCUUAACUUUGAACUGCAUUUUAACUACCGAGCUAGAGUGUGUCAGAGGGAGGUGAAUUCCGCGUGUAGCAGUGAAAUGCGUAGAUAUGCGAGGAACACCGGAUGGCGAAGGGUAGCCUCCUGGGAUAACACUGACGUUCAUGCACGAAAACGUGGGGAGCAAACAGGAUUAGAUACCCUGUAGUCCACGCCCUAAACGAUGUCAACUAGCUGUUAAGCCUUCUGGGCCUUGGUAGCGCAGCUAACGCGUGAAGCUGACCGCCUGGGAGUACGGUCGCAAGAUUAAACCCGUAUGAAUUGAUUUCAAAGACCCACUAGCGUGGAUGGCGGAUUAAUUGAUGCGCAACGAAAAACUUACCUGCCCUUUUGACAUGUCUGGAACCCAAGAGAUUUUAGAGUGCUCGCAAAGAGAACAACACAGGUGCAUUGCAUGGCGUCGCUGACGUGUCGUGAGACGUUGUUGUGUCCUAUGCAACUAGCGCAAUCCUGUCACAGGUUGUUGACAGUGGGCACUUCUAAUGAGAUCUGCCGAAGAUGGUGCCGAGGAAGGUAAUAGCGUCAUCUCAUGGCCUCUAUGGGUAGGGCUUCACACGUCAUACAAUGGUCGGGACAGAGGGUCGCCAACCCGCGAGGGGGGAGCCAAUCCCAGAAACCCGGAUCGUAGUCCGGAUCGCAGUCUGCAACUCGACUGCGUGAAGUCGGAAUCGCUAGUAAUCGCGGAUCAGCAUGUCGCGGUGAAUACGUUCCCGGGUCUUGUACACACCGCCCGUCAGCUACCCCAUGGGAGUGGGUUUACUGAAGUAGUUGGGGCCUAACCGUAAGGAGUGGGCGAUUACCACGGUAGGAUUCAUGACUGGGGUGAAGUCGUAACAAGGUAA
rnacentral:rRNA from 1 species